UGUGUUUGGAGGUGCGUGUGUGUGCUUGAAGGAGGUGUGUGUUAGGUGUGUGUGUGUGUUUGGAGGUGUGUGUGUGUGUUUGAAGGAGGUGUGUGUGUUUGGAGGGUGUGUGUGUGUUUGAAGGACAUGUGUUUCGAGGGUGUGUGUUUGAAGGAAGUGUGUGUUAGGUGUGUGUGGAGGUGUGUGUGUGUUUGAAGGAGGUGUGUGUUAGGUGUGUGUGUGUGUUUGGAGGUGUGUGUGUGUGUUUGAAGGAGGUGUGUGUGUUUGGAGGGUGUGUGUGUGUUUGAAGGACAUGUGUUUCGAGGGUGUGUGUUUGAAGGAAGUGUGUGUUAGGUGUGUGUGGAGGUGUGUGUGUGUGUUUGAAGGAGGGGUGUGUGUGUGUGUUUGGAGGUGUGUGUGUGUUUGAAGGAGGUGUGUGUUAGGUGUGUGUGUGUGUUUGGGGGUGUGUGUGUGUUUGGAGGCGUGUGUGUGUUUGGAGGUGUGUGUGUGUUUGGAGGUGUGUGUGUUUGAAGGAGGUGUGUGUUGGGUGUGUGUGUGUUUGCAGGUGUGUGUGUUUGGAGGUGUGUGUGUGUUUGGAGGUUGUGUGUGGAGGUGUGUGUGUGUGUGGAGGUGUGUGUGUGUGCUUGAAGGAGGUGUCUGUGAUGUGAUCCCAAGAAAAGGAACCACGAGCACAGAUCCUGCCUUCAGGAAGCUCCCAGACUGAAGGAGGAGGCAUGGCCCCUGCCCUAAAAGAGUUCCCCUCUCCUGAUGCAAAGAAACACAGCUCCUGUCCACAAGGAACCCUGAAUCUGAUGAAGUAGAGCAUCACAAUCAGACAAACAUACAGACAGAUGGGGACACACACACCCUACAAAGACAUAGUGAACAUAAUACUACCUGGUAUUUUCACAGGAAAUAAAAUCGCACCCCCUCUGUGCUAAACACCCCCCAAGGAGGAUCUUGCUUCAUGCAACAACUCACCGGGCAGAGAUGAUUAUUGACACUUGACAAACAAGUGUCAACCUUGGUCUUCCCAUUCC
rnacentral:lncRNA from 1 species